GCCACAUGAUGAACUGCAAUGAACAUUAGCACAUUGUGCAAAGAUGACUUUUACCUAUCACCCUUAACUGAUGGCU